rnacentral:rRNA from 1 species
CCUACGGGUGGCUGCAGUAGGGAAUAUUGGGCAAUGGAGGCAACUCUGACCCAGCCAUCCCGCGUGCAGGAUGAAGGAUCUAUGGUUCGUAAACUGCUUUUGUUAGGGAAGAAAAAGGCUUAUUUAUAAGCAACUGACGGUACCUAACGAAUAAGCACCGGCUAACUCCGUGCCAGCAGCCGCGGUAAUACGGAGGGUGCAAGCGUUAUCCGGAUUCACUGGGUUUAAAGGGUGCGUAGGCGGCUAUAUAAGUCAGUGGUGAAAGCCCGCAGCUC